AAAUUAUGCAUUGGACACUUUCUAAGUAACUCCUUAAAAUGCUCCCAAGCUUCAUAUAAACUUUUUUCUUCCAGAUACUUAAAGGAUGUAAGGUCAUUCCUCAGCUU